ACUAGGGCUGUUAAUGAGCCGAGCUGCUCGGGCUCGGCUCGGGCUCGGCUCGGUAAAAGCUCGGCUCGGGCUCGGCUCGGUAGUCAAACGAGCCCGAGCCCGAGCCCAAUAUGAGGCUCGUUUACACUCGAGCCCAAGCCUGAGCUCGAGCCUGAGCAGCUCACGAGCCCAAACGAGCUCUAGUCUUCCACUGAAAAAUCUUAUUUCAGCACCAUAAUUCAUAAAAAUCUAAUCAUAUAGAGAAAAAUAGCUUGUUAUCGAGCCCGAGCCUAAGCUCGAGCCCGAUUACGAGCCCGAGCUCGGGCUCGUUCUAGAGCUCGUAAUUGAAACGAGCUUUACGAGCUCAAGC
rnacentral:lncRNA from 1 species